UAUCAUAAAUGGAUUCUAUUAUUAUCUUGGCGUGGAGCAUCAUGUGACCAACCUCUGCAUCCAAUACCUGUCAUAGCUCUCCUUGCUUACCUGGCGAAGGUGGCAGAAAAGCUCACGACACAUCAGGAUACAUUUAGUAAAAUUACCAUUGAUCCUAGUGGCGGUUCUCCCUGAUCCACCCGGCACCUGUCGUGUCACCUGACCUGGUUAUUUGUUAUGCGUGGCCUAUGAAACACAUAGAAAGCAAAUAUUUGUCUGUUCUCCAAUCCCAUUAUCAAGGACUCGGACCUGUCAUAGCCUGGGCUUUCAAUAGAAGAGAGGAGGGUGGACAGCCUGAUCUCGUUAUAGAACUUGUCUCAUUGCUUCAGGGGGGACAGCAAUUACUGGAACAGCACGCGGGAGGGAUAUUGUUUGUGAAAAAAGCGUGAAGCGGGAGAGCGUGGCCGUGUUGACAUUCAGGAUACAGGGAGAGUUGAAAGCGUGGGGCUCAGCAGUGACUGACCUUUCUAUGAGCAGUUUGAUCACUGCACGACUAGCAGUAAUAGCAGUAGGCUGGAGUGAUUGCCGGAACAGCCAACAAGCCAGCUGUCUAUAGGUCUCCCGUCACAGUGAUAGGUCAAGUCCGGGUGUGCUACUUCAUUGUGUACAGUCCUCACUCACACAACUCUUUCUUCUCUCACAGGCCAGGGAUAAGUGACUGGCCACAUGCAUGUAGUUUAGGUGACCCACUAUGUAUGUAUGCUGGUACAACUACGGAUUGCCCCACCCAUCAGCAGGACCCACUGCUCUCCAAACCACCCCAACAGUCAGUGCCAUCCCUCAAGCCACACCCGCCCCCUCCCCAGCGGAUCUUCUCCUGCCGGUGCCCACCUCUGCCUCUGCCGCUGCUGUUGCUGCCGCUGCUCAGCAAUCCAUCAUCACCCCGUUAGCUGUGUCCAGAAAGAGAGGAUCAGAAGAACUGAUGUCGCACAGCCCGAUGGUGACGAACGGCACAGGGAUGAGCCCUCAGCAUGCUCACAAUUCUGACAUCAGUAAUGAUGCCAAGAAGGUGAAGCUAGACCAGACAAACAACACAAAUGCCCCUUCCAGGGUCAUUCACAUCCGCAGUCUGCCCAACGAUGUUGCGGAAACCGACAUUGUUCAGCUCGGAUUACCAUUUGGAGAGAUGAGCAAAGUCCUACUGCUCAAACAGAAAAAUCAGGCUUUCCUGGAAUUCAAUGACGAGGGGUCUGCAGCCAACAUGGUGUCCUACUACCAGACCACGCCUUCCCAAGUCCGCUUGAAACCAUGCUAUGUCCAGUUCUCCAACCACAAGGAACUCAGUAUCAAGACCGAUGCUUCACAUGCAUACCAGAACGCUACAGCUCAGGCUGCUUUGCAGGCAGCUCAAGCUGUGAUUCACGCCCGCGGCGGCAACAGUGGUGCCUUCCUCGAAACAAAUGAGUGUAAUCAGACGGUGCUCCGCGUGAUCGUUGACAACAUCCUGUACCCCAUCACUCUCGAUGUGCUCCACUCUUUAUUCUCUCGAUUUGGAAAAGUUCUCAAGAUCAUCACUUUCACCAAGAACAACACCUACCAGGCCUUAAUUCAGUUUUCAGACCCCAUUUCGGCUAAAGCAGCUAAAGAUUCACUGGAUGGUCAGAAUGUCUACAAUGGCUGUGACACACUGAAGAUCGACUACUCUCGAUUGAUGAAUCUCAAUGUGAAGUACAACAAUGACAAGAGCCGAGACUACACACGACCGGAGUUGCCCACGGGAGAAGUGACGUUAGAAUCCACCAUGCAGCAAAGCAUGCUGGAUUACUUUGCUCCCGCCUGUGCUCCGGGGGUGAUGGCCUCUCCGUUCGCUGCUGCCAUGCCGGGCUUGGGAGGUGCCCCCCUAACUGCCUAUGGUGCCCCUUCGGCAGCCGCAGCCGCUGCAGCACAUGGGUUUGGUGGUCUGCAAGGUGUAAACCCGUUCUCCACUGGGAUGCCAGCAAUGACUGGAUUUGGUCCAAUUCCAGGAGCGUACGGCGCUGCCCGUUUAGGUAUCCCCAUCCAAGCUCAAGUCGGCAGUCCCGUACUCCUUGUCUCCAACCUAGAUGAGCAGGAGUGUAUGGGGACGUACAUCGGGUGAAGAUCCUCUUUAAUAAGAAGGAUAACGCACUCAUUCAGAUGGCAGAACCAAGCCAAGCGCAGUUAGCGAUCACGUUCCUGGACAAGGUGAAGGUGUGGGGGAAGACAAUCCGGGUGGCUCAAUCCAAGCACUCCGUCGUACAGAUGCCCAAGGAGGGACAGCCU
rnacentral:misc_RNA from 1 species